UCCUACGGGGGGCAGCAGUGAGGAAUAUUGGUCAAUGGGCGGAAGCCUGAACCAGCCAAGUCGCGUGAGGGAAUAAGGCCCUACGGGUCGUAAACCUCUUUUGCCGGGGAGCAAGGGCCGGGACGAGUCCCGGUCCGGAGAGUACCCGGAGAAAAAGCAUCGGCUAACUCCGUGCCAGCAGCCGCGGUAAUACGGAGGAUGCGAGCGUUAUCCGGAUUUAUUGGGUUUAAAGGGAACGCAGGCGGUCUUUUAAGUCUGAUGUGAAAGCCUUCGGCUUAACC
rnacentral:rRNA from 1 species